GAUCUUUUAUUGUUCUCAGUAAAGUCCAGCAUUACAUUAAAAUUAAUGCCAAUUUGAUAAAACAGAAAAAUUAAACUAAAAACAACCUGGUGAAUUCAACUGCCUGCUUCACCUGAGGCAAGGUCCUCACCCCAGGAUGUGCCUAAGAGACCCCCAGGUCUUCAUGCAACCUCCUAGAUAGCCAUGUUUGCAUUAAUUAAUUAUUAUACACAUUACAUUCUGCAAUGAUAUGAAGCUACAAAAGAUUUGCAACCUGUGAAGUACCUCAGCAGGUGAACAGGUCAUGUUUCAACAUCAGCAAUUUUCAAGAUUUACUUGAACUAUGGCAAAACAUGGGGUCAUAUCUAUGUCCCACAUCCUUGCCUUUUGGGAAGAGAAAAGGGCUUGUCAAAUUUUCUUGUGGAAAGACUUGUGCAAAGCUUACCUUCCAGGACUAAAUUUUAGAAUAGUAGUAUGCUGCUGAAUUCCGUGUAUAGGUUUAAGGCAAAUAUUUGCCUUAUAUAUAUAUUGGCUUAUAGCUUAAGGUUGUACCCUAAUAAUCAAACUUAUAUAGCUAAUUAAUACUGCACUUUUUUUUUUUCAGUAGAGGCGUAACUAGAUGUAGAAAAGGAAGAUGCAGGUCACAGCUACAGAAACGUGCUUCCAUUGUCACCAUAGCAGUAUAGGUCACUCUAAGUUCUAGUAAAUAAUGCAGUGCUAUGACCUAAAUACAGUACAUCACCACUCUCUCACUACUCUCCCAGAUGGAUAAACCAAAUGUGCUAGGUGGACAGAACUCUUGCCCAGUGCUAUUCUCAGUGAUUUGAUUAUCACAUAUGCUGCGACUUGUAAUUAGUUUUAAAUUCCCACACUGCUUAAUUAUGGAGAGUAAUUUCCCAAGAUUCCCUUCCUUAUAAGCAGAGAGAAAUAGGCUCCUCCAGAAGGAGCUACUGAUUCAAGAGAAAAUGGAAAAUUUAUGAAUGUUUGCCCAGAAAAGUAACAUCCAAAUCUGUCUUUUUAACCACUUUGGAUCAUCUGUAAAAAGAGGUACCCUGGCUAAAGACUCACAGUAAAUCUUUGUACCUGCUCUUGCAGAUCUUAUGUUUGAAUUCCAGAGCACAUCUUAAACAGUAAAAUUUAAACAAGACCUAAUUUUUUAAGGCUGAAGCUGGCUUCUCCCCUGAGGAUCUUAGGAUCUUGCCAGAAUUGCUCACUUGCCUCACUCAUGAGAACAAGAUGUCAAAGGAGAAUCAGCCUCAAGCAGGUGACUGCACGGAACACCACCCUGAGGUGGGGGUUUUGUCUUGGGGUCCUGCAAGAGCCUGUGAGCCCCACAGGGGUCUGCCACAGAGGAAAGCAGCCUCCAUUCUGUGCCUCACUUUGGCCUGUGUUUGAUGUUACACUCCCCAGAUGAUGA